rnacentral:rRNA from 1 species
CUUGUAGGCGGUUUGUCGCGUCGCUCGUGAAAACCAGCAGCUCAACUGUUGGCCUGCGGGCGAUACGGGCAGACUAGAGUACUGCAGGGGAGACUGGAAUUCCUGGUGUAGCGGUGAAAUGCGCAGAUAUCAGGAGGAACACCGGUGGCGAAGGCGGGUCUCUGGGCAGUAACUGACGCUGAGAGCGAAAGCGUGGUAGCGAACA